UACGUAGGGUGCAAGCGUUGUCCGGAAUUACUGGGCGUAAAGAGCUCGUAGGUGGUUUGUCGCGUUGUUCGUGAAAACUCACAGCUCAACUGUGGGCGUGCGGGCGAUACGGGCAGACUGGAGUACUGCAGGGGAGACUGGAAUUCCUGGUGUAGCGGUGGAAUGCGCAGAUAUCAGGAGGAACACCGGUGGCGAAGGCGGCUUCCUGGACCGACACUGACGCUGAUGCGCGAAAGCCAGGGGAGCGAACGGG
rnacentral:rRNA from 1 species